UAAUAGCCCUAUUUUUAAGGCGUUUAUCUAAAAGCUGAUUAUAUUUACUAAGUUAAUUAUGUCUCGAAUAUUCUUAUUUUAUUUGAGCUUGGAGUAUGAUUUUUAUUUUUAUUGUGUUUAUAAUGUAACUUUUAAUUUUAUAAAGUUAUUAUUAUUUUAUAUUUUGAGUUUUAUGUGCAAUUAAUUGAGUGGUAUAUUGCCAGAAUUGAAAGUCAAAGCCGGUUUUCCAUUUCAUUUUCCCUUGUCGGUUGGUUUUGGAAGAUAAACCCCAAACAUUCUUUUCUCUUUUUGGUUUCGGUUCGAUAAGACCCAAAACACCAAAUCCCUUCUUUGCCUCGACAUUUCUCUCAAAACCCUAAACCCCAAAACUGAAAACCCCAACCCGUUGGAACCUAACUUAUGUCCGUCCCUCUUGCUCACCGUUGCUUGCCUCCUCCGUUGUCUGUGAGUUGUUGAAGCCACGUCGAACCACUACAACCCUGUCGCUGCUGUUGCCCUCCUUUUGCUCUCCUCAGGGUUCGCGUCUCCCCUAUUUCGUUCGUUGUCCUACCCCAGACCCGAUGAUCGUCGCCCGCGCCACCAUCCUGUCUCGCCGGAGCUUUCUCCUCUCCUAUGUUGCACGGUAGCCUCCUUGGCGUUGUUGAUGUUGUUGUUCGCGUUGUUCGUGCUGAUGUGUGCGCGGUGUUGCUAGGAUGUGUGUGUCAUACUGCUGCUCUCUUCUCGUUUUCCUCUACUUGCGCCGCAGCGUCGUUCUCCUCUUCUCGUCGGCAUCACUGUCGUUGAUGGAUUUAUUGUGGAGGAAUGUUAUAGAAUUCAAGAGAGUUGAUGGAGUUAUGAAGUUCUCAAAGUCUUUAUAUGUCGGGGCUAAAGAAUGGAUCGCGUAUGAGGGUCUUAUUGAUGCCUUUAGAAGGGUAAUGCAUUCAGCAGACACAAGGUAUUGUUGUAGGCACUUUUGGACUAACUUUAAAGCCAAACUCUUCAGUGAAAUAUACAAAGAACAAUUCUGGAAGGCAAGAUCAUCAACAAAGCUUUGACACCUCGAUUAACAAUUACAACAGGUUAUGUUGAUGAGAAUCUUAUUUGGUUUUGGGCUCGGGUUGAGAUGCGAGCAUUAAAAUGAACCAAAGCCUCUUCGCCAAUAAUCCCAUAGAAAACAAUGUCCUAGUUGAGAGAGCUCGCAAGUUGGCUGUAGAUUACGGGGCAUAUAAUGUGCGGAUUUAUGAAGCAGCUCGUACUAAAAGUUCCACGAGCUCGAGAAAAUGGUUGGGGGCUUGGGGCUAGCGUAGGGGUAAUUAAAAUUAACUCUGAUGCUAUUGUGGGUGAUGACGACUAGGUUGGGCUUGGGGGAGUGGCAAGGAACAACUCAAGACAUGUCUUGUGGUCUGCUACCCGACGUGGUCUGCUUCGUGGCCUCCUGAAGUGGCUGAGUGGAAGGCUCUCCUAUUUGCAGCAAGAUUAGCCCAUAAUCAUCAUCACUCUCGGGUUAUAUUUGAGACUGUUUGUCAGAACUUGGUCUCCAGACUUUCUAGAGGGGCCAUUUACUUUUCUGACUUAGAUUCGAUUUUGGAGGAUGUCUUGUUUAUUAGUAGAAAUUUUGUCUCUGUGGAUUGGUUGCAUGUGUGUAGGGAUGGCAAUUGUGUGGCUCGUCACCUCGCGAGAGUCAUUCCUUUUGGUGUUGAGCAACGAUGGAAAUGUCAUGUUCCGUCACAAGUUGCGCCUUAUGUACUCAUGGAUGUAUUAUCUCUGUCUUAAUUAAUUCACUACACCUUUCCAUUUAAAU